AGAAAAUAAGGUAGGGAUGGGGAGAGGACAUCUUCAAGGCCUCUCUGGUUGCCCACUGCCCUUUGAAGGUGAACAGCCUGUCCCGUUCCCUCUAUCAACAAUAAGCCCAUGGGAUAGGAACACGGGGCCUAAAUAUGAUCUGGGAGAUUCUGGGGGCCAGGACAGCAAAUGCAGGGCAGACAGGCUUCAGAGGAGAAAACACCAAUGACAGGGGCCACUUCAUAAUCAUAGUGACCGUAUGAUUUCCUGUCCAAAUAGGCACACAUAGCACGCCAGGAUGUGAGAUCACCCUGUACCAUGAUCAGGCAGCCUGGGAGUGGCAGUGAUGGAGCAGAGGCUGUGUGUGCAAAUGCAUGUGAGAGUGAGACCAAGGCCCUGGACUGAUCCUUGGGAGAUCUGGCUUAUCUCAGCUCAGUCCCAUACUAUUGGCCAAAAUGCUGCUCUUCCACUACAAGUCACCUUGGUCUGGAAUCAACCACCACCCCACACUGAGUGCCAACUACCCUGUGAACAAAUGCUGGAGCUAAGUCCUUCUAGUUAGACCUGCAGUACCUAGAGGACCUGGGCAGCACCCUAUGGCUCAAGGAGUAGGGCGCUGGCCCCAUAUGCUGGAGGUGGUGGGUUCAAACCCGGCCCUGGCCAAAAAAAAAAAAAAAAAAAAAAAAAAGUAUCUGGAAGACCUGGUCCACUCCUUCCUCUCCCUAAGGUGCCCAGAAUAAAGUUACUAAUGCAGAGGCCUAGACACAUGCACAUAAAAUCACUCAUAAAAUUAAGAAUAAUCCUUCUGGGGCAGCUCCUGUGGCUCAAAGGAAUAGGGUGCCAGCCCCAUAUGCCAGAGGUGGCGGGUUCAAACCCAGGCCCGGCCAAAAACUGCAAAAAAAUAAAAUAAAAUAA